rnacentral:rRNA from 1 species
UACGUAGGGGGCAAGCGUUGUCCGGAUUUAUUGGGCGUAAAGAGCGUGUAGGCAGCCAUGUAGGUCCGUUGUGAAAACUCGAGGCUCAACCUCGAGACGCCGAUGGAAACCAUGUGGCUAGAGUCCGGAAGAGGAGAGUGGAAUUCCUGGUGUAGCGGUGAAAUGCGCAGAUAUCAGGAAGAACACCCGUGGCUAAGGCGGCUCUCUAGUACGGUACUGACGCUGAGACGCGAAAGCAUGGGGAGCGAACAGG